AGAGUUUGAUCCUGGCUCAGGACGAACGCUGGCGGCGUGCUUAACACAUGCAAGUCGAACGGUAAGGCCCUUCGGGGUACACGAGUGGCGAACGGGUGAGUAACACGUGGGUAAUCUGCCCUGCACAUCGGGAUAAGCCUGGGAAACUGGGUCUAAUACCGAAUAGGACCACAGAACACAUGUCCUGUGGUGGAAAGCUUUUGCGGUGUGGGAUGGGCCCGCGGCCUAUCAGCUUGUUGGUGGGGUGAUGGCCCACCAAGGCGACGACGGGUAGCCGGCCCUGAGAGGGUGUCCGGCCACACUGGGACUGAGAUACGGCCCAGACUCCUACGGGAGGCAGCAG
rnacentral:rRNA from 1 species